UACAGAGGGGGCAAGCGUUGUUCGGAAUUACUGGGCGUAAAGGGCGCGUAGGCGGCCGCCUAAGUCAGACGUGAAAUCCCUCGGCUUAACCGGGGAACGGCGUCCGAUACUGGAUGGCUUGAAUCCGAGAGAGGGAUGCGGAAUUCCAGGUGUAGCGGUGAAAUGCGCAGAUAUCUGGAGGAACACCGGUGGCGAAGGCGGCAUCCUGGAUUGGUAUUGACGCUGAGGAGCGAAAGCUAGGGGAGCAAACGGG
rnacentral:rRNA from 1 species